AGACCACUUUUUCAAUAUGGCGAAUGUAACAUUAUGCUCUCAACGAGAAAAUCGAUGCUGAAGUUUCGAGCUUUAUCUUUAAUUCCUAUUUACCAACUAAGCCAUUAAAUGUUAAGUGGAUACAUUUGGACAAUACAAAACAACACCAUUUAUCAUUGUUGCGUAUUCUAUAUGCAUUUUCUUAUGUUUAAAUUAUGUUUUUGAAUGAAAAACGAUUUUAAGUCGUUUUUCCGUUUAGAAACGACAAUGCGACCUAUCGAUAAGUCGUUCUGAAAACUAUCUUGUUAUUUUCGUCGGGUGCGUUACGACGUGUUACCAAAAGUUAUGUUGCUUUCGUCAAGUUUGUUACGACGUUUUGACAACCGAUGUGUUGCUUACGUCAGGAUGCAUACGUCAGCAUAAGCAUAAAACAACAGAUAGGACAGGUGGAAUAAUGAUGACAAAGAUCACGAAUACGGAUGUUUUACGAAGUUCUAUGUCACAAAACUAUGUUGCCGAUUUCAUCGAAUGCAAGCCCAUUGAGGAUUGCAUUGAGGAUAUUGUGUGAAAAUGCUUUACCUGACAUUCUUGCCAAUUGACAGCAACAGCAAACGAACGUUGAAAUUAAUGUACAAAAUCGCCAGCCAAGAUUGCAGUUUCAUAACAUCGUUAUUAACUCUACGCCACCUCCAGCUCAUGGGCACCUUCUUUCUACCUCGCCGGCGACCAUCACUCACCUGGCCGUGCUCACUGUGCUCCCGAUUCUUAUACUGGCCGGAUUUGAGGCGACAACCAACUUUGCAAGCUUGUUCGGCAUUCUAGCAACAUGUAUCACCCAACGUAUCCUUCUAGCGUUUGUCAUUUUUGCAUGCUGGGUUCACCGUAGACUUAUAACUUGAUUAUAGGAGGAGUGAAAGCCUCCUUAAGCUUGCCAAAUAUUUUUA